AGAGUUUGAUCCUGGCUCAGAGCGAACGCUGGCGGCAGGCUUAACACAUGCAAGUCGAACGGAAAGGCCCUUCGGGGUACUCGAGUGGCGAACGGGUGAGUAACACGUGGGUGAUCUGCCCUGCACUUUGGGAUAAGCCUGGGAAACUGGGUCUAAUACCGAAUAUGACCGCAUGCUUCAUGGUGUGUGGUGGAAAGCUUUUGCGGUGUGGGAUGGGCCCGCGGCCUAUCAGCUUGUUGGUGGGGUAAUGGCCUACCAAGGCGACGACGGGUAGCCGGCCUGAGAGGGUGUCCGGCCACACUGGGACUGAGAUACGGCCCAGACUCCUACGGGAGGCAGCAGUGGGGAAUAUUGCACAAUGGGCGCAAGCCUGAUGCAGCGACGCCGCGUGAGGGAUGAC
rnacentral:rRNA from 1 species